rnacentral:rRNA from 1 species
UACGGAGGGCGCGAGCGUUGUCCGGAAUUAUUGGGCGUAAAGCGCACGUAGGCGGCUCGAAAAGUCUCUUGUGAAAGCCCGGGGCUCAACCCCGGGAGGCCAGGGGAUACUGUCGAGCUGGAGACAGGCAGAGGCUGGUGGAAUUCCGGGUGUAGCGGUGGAAUGCGUAGAGAUCCGGAGGAACACCGGAGGCGAAGGCGGCCAGCUGGGCCUGAUCUGACGCUGAGGUGCGAAGGCGUGGGGAGCGAACAGA